UUUUUUUUUUUGUUUCCAGGAGUAUCCUGGAUCAUAUUUGUGCCAUAAACAUCUUAUACACUUUUUUCUUGAAGAUGCUUUUAUUGAAUGGAAGUGUGGAUCUCAUUCACAUGAUAAUCAGACUGUUGCCAUUCUCAAUGUGAUUUGAAUAUAUUUUUCUGACUUUGUUACUACUUUAAACUCCUCUCUCUGAAAUAUAAUGAAAUGCAGCAAAUUUCACAUGUUCUAAUAUAGUCAUUUUCACAGGUGAAAAAUAAUGAGUCUGAUCCUUUGAUCAGAGCUGAAGCUGGAGCUGGGCAUAAAUACUGAUGGUGCUGCUCCCACAGCCGAUAAUUAUGGAGCUCAAACAAAUCUUUGCAUGCAUCAUCAUGCAGAAACUUUGAGAAUGUCAUGAUGCAUAAGGAUUCUAAGAGAAGAUCCCAUAUGCUUUCAAAUUAAACCAGUAACUUUGCGGAAUGAAUUUGGAGGGCCAAGUAGCUAUCUGCAUGUGUUUCUUGUGUGCAAUUCUUUUUCUAGGUUCCUACAAGAUAUUAGUACAGAAUAUUCAUAAGUUGUGUCCUUAAUUUGUAACUUUAUACUUUGCUGUUACUCUACGCAAGAUGGAAUGAUGAUGAAUCAUGAAUCCAUCAUUCUUGCCUCAUAACACUUUACUGCAUAGUAAAGAAUUUGUAUUCUUCUUGUUCAUAAGUAUGCCCUCAUAUUUGUAACUUACAGACUUUGUUGUUGCACCAUGAAAGGUGAGGUGAUCGAAUCAUGCAUUCCUUCUUCUUAUCUGCCUCUUCUCAGAAAAACCUCAUCACUUUCAAGUUGUAUAGUCUCCUUUUCUGAAUGCUACGCUGCAUAUAAAUAAUGCAUAUGUCAAUUGGAGGCAUUUAAACAAGUAGCAGAGGCAAGCUUUUGGUUUUGGUUCACGAGUUAUAACCCGGUUUGGACCAAACCGGAAUGCAUCCCGGUCCAAUUAAAACCUAUUACUCACUAUCGGAUUCGGACUUUCAGUAACCAAAACCGGGUCGUCAUGGACUAUAUCGAGCCGGUUGUAAACCGGUUGAUAUGAAACCGAAAUCGCCUCCGGUCCAAUGAGGACAUUAUCGUAAUUAUGGAACACGUUCGGGGGUUGAAAUCUACUGAAACUAUCCCACUCCCUAAACAGCUGCGUCGGGCCACUCACUCACUCGCUCGCUGCCUGCCAUGGCUCUCCGAACCCUCUUCACCAAGAAAGCCCUAACUCGAGCUUCCGGCUUGGGGCCCCUUGGUGCGGCCGCCGGGGAUCGGGGCCUUGGAUCGGGUCUCGGCCAGGCGCGGGGCCUCACGGCCGCCAGCCUCCCGGACCUGCCCUACGACUACGGCGCCCUCGAGCCCGCCAUCAGCGGCGAGAUCAUGCGGCUCCACCACCAGAGGCACCACCAGGCGUACGUAACCAACUACAACAACGCCCUCGAGCAGCUCGAGGCGGCCGUAGCCAAGGGGGACGCCCCGGCGGUGGUCCGGCUGCAGGGCGCCAUCAAGUUCAAUGGUGGAGGUUCGUCAACUAAUGGGCCUUCUCUACUUGGUCUUGUUUUUCCUAGCUUCGGAUUGGGUUAUUGCUUAAUGGAACCCAUUUUGCCUCUGUUGCGAGCUUAAUCCAAGUUUGUGGUUGCGGUAUCAUCGUUACUCAUGUGUAGCAAAGCUCCCAUCUUUCUAAAUUUGCAAGCGACACAAUUAGUUCUUUCAGAAGUCUCAGAAGGAAAGAAGGCAUGAUUUGUUAUGUGGAGCAUCUCAGGAUUCGGAAAAUUGUUGUUGUACCAAACUUCGGAAUCGAUCAGACUUUGUUGUUUUCUAAAUUUUAGGAAUUAAUGGGUUUUCGUUAUCUCUUUUAUGAUGUUUGUCCUGUCAUUAACUCUGUUGCUAGCUUUAAAGUCUUGAAUCCGUUAUUACACCUCUAGUUGGCUGAAAUCUGUUCCACAUUACUUUCUAGGCACCUUUUGCUGUGGGUUUAAUAAGUUCUUGUGGUUAAGGAUAACGGUAUCUGUGGAUUUUUGGUAUGAGUUACUUGAUCAAGGUAUUUUGAUGUUUCUCGCAGGUCAUAUCAACCACUCGAUCUUCUGGAACAACCUCAAGCCUGUAAAAGCAAGUGCAAAAUCUCCAUCCUUAUUACUUACCGAACAUCUUUCUUCCUGUAUUUCUGCUUCAACAAAUGCUGGGUCUUCUAUUUUCUUACUUAUAGAAGAUCUUGUAUCUCUGCUUCCAUAAUUAUUUAUAAUGAAAAAAAUCUUGCAGGAAGGUGGCGGUGAGCCUCCACACAGUGCACUUGGUUGGGCAAUCGACACAGACUUUGGUUCCUUAGAGGCUUUGGUGCAGAAAAUGAAUGCAGAAGGUGCUGCUCUACAGGGAUCUGGAUGGGUGGUGAGUUUAGCCAUAUAGAAUAGAUUUUAAAUAUUUACACAAUAACAAAAUCUGGUAUGUUUUCUUUGGGUGCAUGUUCUACUAUUGCUUCUUGCUCAUUCUCUGUGACUGUCCUUAUGUCAGUGGCUAGCUCUGGAUAAGGGAAGUAAGAAACUCAGCGUUGAGACCACUGCAAAUCAGGUUAGAUUUUUUGUUCUAGAUUUGUCUAUUAUUCCCCCCCUCAAACCCCCCCCCCUCCUCCCAACCCACCCACAAAAAAAAAAAUUCUUGCAUGCUUAUAUGGUUCCAAGUACAUGAUUAAAUAUGUUCUGUGUUUCUUUUGUGGUUUUGAUGGUGAAAGCUAGCUAUACUUUCCUGUAAUGUCAAAGUUUCACUUUAACAGUUUUUCACUAGAUUUAUAUUUAUGAUACAAAAAUUAUCAAAUGAAUAGUGCAAUAAUGUUUUGUAAUUUUAGAUGGACUGGUGGGUGUGAUUGAUGUUUCUUUUCAUCUAUCAUAUUUCAUGUGAAAACUGAGGUAAUACUGUGGGGAAAAGAGAAUAUCUUAGGACCACAAAACAGUUGCCAAACUACUUGUUCUUUCUGUGUUUCAAAUAAUUGUCAAAAGUUUGCCAUGUGAUGGCUUGUUCUACGGAUGAAAUCACAUACCUAAAUAGUCUAAUAAAACUUGGAGCAUAGGUUGAUAUUGCCCAUGAUAUAGCUAAAUAUGAUGGAUUGACAUAGCUUAUCUAAAUUGGUGAAACUUGAUAUUAUAUUCUUUCUCAGUUCUCUAUGAUCCUUAAGCUUUUAUCUGUUCUUCUCAUUGAACUCCAAACUACUUUUAGUUUUGCUAGAGUAAUUAUGAUGCCAAUCAAACCUUUUGGUUUUUGUUGCUGGUACCUGGCACCUGAUAUGUCAUUAUUCUUUUUGUCAUUUUGUGGGUUCUUGACUUGAUAUUUUUAAUUAAUGGAGUUCAACAUUUACAAGUGCAUCAUAAGUUGAUUUGUUAUUUCCAUUUCAGGAAUGGAAUAUUUCCAUUUCAAUAAUUUCCAUUCCUGGUUGAUGCCUUUUGCACUUAUUCUUCCAUUUCAUUUGUUUUGUGUGUGUUUGCCCAAAAGGACAUUGGCUGACCGAUCCAUUUGCAGGAUCCACUGGUGACAAAAGGUUUGCACAUGGUUCCUUUGCUUGGUAUUGAUGUUUGGGAACAUGCAUACUACCUGCAGGUAAAUGCUGACCAUUUUGCUGGUAUGCCAGCUAACCGUUCUGUCAUGCACGCAUAAAUAAAUGAAAAUAGAACUAAGAUCCCUCUUCAGAAGCACGUCAACUCCUGCAUUCGUACAAGAAUUUUUCUGAUUGACAUGGGUGUAUACUUGUUCGUGAUUCUCUGUGAUGGAUCGCAAAAUAGGCAUUCAUUAAGUGGCUUGUUGAAUGUGAAUGAAUGUUCACAUAGAGUGCUACUGAAGUAUGUGUUCUUAUCAAAUAUUACAUCAACACACAUAUUUAACAAAUUUAUAUGAUCCUUCAGAACACCAUAACUAUAAUUUUAAAUUUUGAUGUUAAAGAAUUGUGACACUACCAAUUUAUGUUGAUAACUCUUAGAAAUUGAUUGCUAGAUCCUUCAUACGUAUAUCUAGGUUGUUUAAAUGGCUAGAUCUAAGACAAUGCUCAGUUCAGUUGUUGAUGCGCCUGAUCAUCUUAAAUUGGGCAUAGAUGGAUUGCUGGAAUUGCAUUCACAUAAAUCCUUUACCCUUAGUCGCACAUGCUCCCUGUUGUGUUUUGUUUUUGUUUGAUCUGUAGUCAUAUGCUUCCUUGUGGUGUGUCAUUUUAUGCAUGCAAACACUGUUUCCUGAACAACUUUCCACUUUAUUGCAGUACAAGAAUGUAAGACCAGACUAUCUGAAAAACAUAUGGGAUGUGAUAAACUGGAAAUAUGCCAGUGAAGUGUAUGAGAAAGAGACUGCAUAAUGUUUGCUUUCAUUCUCUUCCCGGUCGUGUUUAAUCUCGAGGAAUUUUGUAUCAAAUAAGGUAGUUGUCGUGACAUGACGGAAAUUACACUUCAUUGCUUUCAAUUAAAUCUGCAGUAUCUAUCAAUGCCCCAGGUUUUUCUCUUUACCAGUAGAUCUACUCAUGUAUCAAUUUAGCAACUGGAGUAUAUAUGGUACCUGUCAAUAAAUUCAUCGGAUUUCGGAAAAAAGGACUAGAGCCUUUUGGAAUUUCAAAUUGUGUUAUUCGGAAGUGCAUGGGGGCUUACAAAGUGCUACUGGUGAUUCCAGCGUGAUAGGAAUGGCAAUCGCUGCUGCUUCCUAUGUGGUAUGGAAGAAUGUUGCUCUGAAUCUACUCAUCUUGCUCUACAGAUGUAAAUUGCAGUUUGGUCCAGUUCUUUAUUUAGGCUGGAUAAGGCUUAAAAGACUCCAUUUCGCUUGUCUUUGUUGUGUUACUGUUUGGAAAAAAGUUACUCCCAUAUGCUAAUUGGAGACGAAAUGUCUGGUUUCGUUAGAUCAAAUGCAGAAGUACAUCUUGCUGAGCUAUUAAGCAGCUAAGAUGAGCUUCUUCAGAUCAAAGAAGUUUUGUUGAUCUAUCAGAGAAUUAUGAUGAUGUAUUAAUUAUAUUUAUUUUCUUACUUUUAGUGUGACAUUUGGUAUCUCUACUUAAAAGAUUGGUGGAUAUUGAUUGAUAUAUCAACUUCAAGUUGUUGACAUGUCUGUCAUUAUCGACUCCACAUGUCACUUAGGGUCAAAAUCCAUGAGGCGGAAAAACUUGUGCUCGUAAGGCGACGGAUUCGUCUCCAAGCACAGUUAGUCACGUUGAUAAUUUGUUACUAUGAAUUCGGUAUCAAUCACGAUCUCAAUCCAUUUGAUAGAUUUGAUCUUUGACCAAAUCACUUCGAAAUCAAAAGAUUCUUAUCGGGUGGGUAUGUCUGACAUAAUUCUUUCGAAUUUGAUACCUCGAUUGACUCUCAAUCAUCGACUAUAUAGAACUGACUUUGAUUGAUUCUCAAUCAUCGACUAUAUAGAACUGAGUCUCAAAAUUUCACUUAGAUACCAAUUAUUAUGAUUUCAGCUAAAAAAAUUUAAUUUAUAAAGUUAAUAUAUCAAAAAAAAUUAAUUAGUAAAAUAAUCGAUUUAUUCUAAGUUGCACAAAAUAUUAGUAAAAUAAGACAUUAUGUCGGGAUAAUUAUAUAUUAGCCCAUGUUGUUAGUCAUGUUAACAUCUCGAUUUUUAUACUUAAAAAAAUACAUUUAUAAUUUAAUAUUAAUAUUAUUUUUUUAUAUUAUUAAUUUCGAUGGAAAAAUUUGUUAUCACGAGUAAAAAAAAGAAUGAAUAAAAAUAUAAUUUUAUUAUUUUUUAAAUUAUUAAUUUUAUAUAAACUUUGCAUUUCCUUUCUCCUCGACUUUCCAGACUGCUCGCCCGCCUCACCCGCUCGCUCACCGGUCGCCCGCCGCUUGCCGGCCGCACUACACCCACAUGACCUUCUUAUGGGGCAAGAACUCGGAGAUCCUCUUCAUGGGCUGGCCCGGCACCAGGGGCAGCAUGUAUGCCCUCGCUCUCGGCGUUGGCCUCGCCUACCUCGUGAUGCUUGCGGUCAUGUCGGUCAUGUCAUUCCUGCUCUUCGAUAGCACGACGUCUCAGAAGACGCCGCUACAGUCGGCUGGCGGUGGCAUACGAGGAAAUCUUAUCUUCGGCCAGCGACCAAUGCCGCUGAGAAAAGAAAAGCUUCGCCCUUCCAAUCCUUAUCUUCUUCACCGCGAUAGUCUUCGUUGAUCUGUCAACAAUCGACAAUAAUCGACGGACUUAAGGAGAACGAAGGGUGGACUUAAGGGGAAUGAAAGGAACGCCUGUGCCCUCACAACAAUAGCAAUCGCAGCAGCAACAAUCUGCUCUUGCUCUACUCAUGACUCUUGCUUGUAAACCAUUCUUUGCAUCGAUGGUAUCGAGCAUCUCUAUUGAGGGAAAUCUUCUAUUCUGUUGAGGAAAAUCCUUUCUCCUAAUCUGUAUAAAUAAAAGAGGGAUAGCUUAAUGUAUUGAAACUAAAGCUUCUUCAAAGUUUCUUCUUCUUGUAUUCUUUCGAAACGGUCUUCCGCCCACGGUUUGCCGAUAUUUUGUGUCUGGUAUGAGUUUGAAGUCUUGCAUCCUAAUAAGCCUUACUUGUAUAAUAAGCUGUGACAGAAGCUUUCUUGGCAUUUGAAUUCAUCUAUCAGAAAUCUCUUUGUAACCAUCAUGCAUUUGUGAUUAAGAAGAAUGGUUGGUGGCUUAUGAGCAAUUAAGACUACAACAACAUUCUUACGUUUUGUUGAAAUCUGCAAAUAUUGAGAUGCUUUAUAAGUAAACAUUGUGCUACUGUUUGUCUACAAUCAUCAGAGAAAAAAAAGAAAAGGUGUGCUAAUCUCCCUUUGCUUCACAGUAGAUUCCUAACACAGGGAUCAUGUUUCAUGUCCUGUAGUCCAAUCGAGAGAAGUAGCGAUGAUUCCAUCAUCUACUUUUCAGCUUAACUGCGUAUUGAACAAGGCAGGUUUUGUCUCUGGAUUGCUUUUGGGUUUGUUAGAAGCUACUCUUUGGCUUAAAGUGAACUCAAUGAUCAAACACUCGUUAAAAGAUUACAUCAUGCAAAAUCUUUUUCUUUGUGGAGGACUAUAUUUCAAAGUGAGCAAGUACGAUGGACGAGCCGAUGUAGCAGACGAGCAACGAACGAUAAGUGUAGCGGGCGAGUGAUGAGCGAAAGGUGUGACAGGCAAGCAGGAAGGUGCGACAGGCGAUGGACGAGUAGUUUGAAAAAAAAGGAGAAGAGAAAAUCGAUCUUGGACGAAAAGUUUAUAUAAAAUUAAUGAUUUAAAAGAUAAUAAAAUCAUAUUUUUAUUCUUUCUAUUUACGUUUUUUUUUCAUGUAAUAACACGUGCGAUUUUUUCAUCAACGAUGUUAAUGAUGUAAAAAGAAUUGAUGUUAAAUAUUUCACCUUCUUAAGUAUAAUGAUCUAAUACUACUUUUUAAAGUAUAAAGAUCAAAAUAUUAAUCAUAAUUAACUAUAAGGGUUAAUAUAUAAAUAGUCCUGCUAUAUCACUGUACUGUAUGCAAGACACUGCACUUGACCAAAUCUUAGCAAAUAAUUCACACUCGGGAAUGAGAACAUACUGAGUUCCUUGGUGUUGAGAUGGCCAUAUCCAACACCCAGUGGCAAUCUGCAGACUGUCGGCUGAAUCUUGCACAUAGUGGGCAGACAAGCAGAUUCCCAUCAUGCAAGUGGCAGGAACAAAUCAAGAUGGCCAUCCAAUUAUUCCUGAAAUUAGAAUCUAAAAGGACAACGAAGAAUAAUUGAUAUGGCAUUUUGUCUUGAUAUUAGUUGAGCCUUAUUGUCAACAGAUAUCUGCGUGCAAUGUGUGCAGCCCACCGAGUUCUUUUCUUUCUCUUUUUCCAAGGACAGUGAUGCAGCUGAAGACCCACCCAGGUUGAGGAGGUGAGAUGGAAGCAGAAUGAAGUUAAAAGGUCACAGAUCUGAGUGCUGUAGAAUCGAUGAGUGGUUGAAGAAGAAGCCGUGGAGGUGUGAGAUCUUGCACCUGACUACAGAACAUGAACAUUCUGCACACACAACUUGACAAGGAUUAGUUCAUUCUUCACACAAGUGUGCACUACAUGCCAUGGCCUUGAGAAUGUGUCCACAAUUAGACGGAUUCCAGAAACUGAACUCCCCACAUAAAUCCAUGUUCUCGUGGAUGAACAUGGAUACUGUCGAUAGCAGCCAGUUAUCCAGCAAUUACUGGCAAGUUUUGCAGUCCCUGUUCUAUGUAUGCAUCAACAAGCUACAGGGAGGUGAUGUGAAGUUUCAGUAUGAUCUCUGGGCUACUUCUUCUGCUAUUAGUCUUCUGAAUCUGAUGAACAAGGGUGUUAUGGAGUUCUGACUUGCGGUUCUGCAGACAAUAAACCAACUCACAGUUGAAGGCCUGCUUUCUACUGAUCUAAGUUGCAUAUCUAAUACAAAAGAAUCCAAGUGCUGUAGGUGAUACCAGAGAUAUUUGGAGCUGCUAGAUCUAGCAUUUGAGUGUCUGAGAGAAAAAUAUCUGGAGUUGUGCAAUCUUAGAACUAUAGCAAUAGUAAUGUACUAACAAAGAAUCCAAAGGACAUCUGAAGUACUUGGAACUCAGACAUGAGGGUUUUCUUUCUCUGCUACCUAUUAGAAGCUCUUUCAUGUUGCCCAAGCCUUUCACCUUUUCAUUCUUUUUUCAUCAUCCUUAAGGUGUAAAGUCCAAUGCCUCAUAUGCCAGCAUAUCAUAACAAAAGCAGCUUUUGUUGCACUCAUGCUUUCCUCCAGUGUCUUGCUUUAUUGGAAGUAUCUUUUUCAGCUGGUUGAGGAACACUGAAUUAUACUUUGGUUUAUGCACUCCAUCCUUGAAAGCUGUGAAAGCAUCUGUGUGGCCAGUGUAAAUUUCCAAGCCUAUUGCCAGAUUUAUACAUGUAACUUUUCAAUUAUGUUGGAAUUUGAACUUGAUAAUGCUCAUAAAACAUAACAAAGGGUUGAUGACAGAAAGUGAUGGCAGGUGGGGUGUCUCCCCCUUUGGUGUGCCUGAAGAAAGGAAUCGUGUACUGCUUAAAAUGAUCCAUCUUCUCCCAUGGAGGAAAAUUAUUUGGGGUCCCCCAAAGAAUGUACCAAAUAUACUGUUGAUGAGUAUUACAAGUGAGAGAGUCAACAUGAUCCCUUUGCCAAGUCUCCAAAAGAACUGCAGUUUCUACCACCUACCAUCUUCUGAUACACAAACAGACAUCUCCAGAGUACAACUUCACCACCAAAACAAGGUCAAAUGUAGAGUUUGUGAGUGUGAAACAAGUAAAGAAAGUUACAGGGGCUUUCAGGGAUUGCUUGGACCAUUGGAAAUGUACAGAUUGGCAUGACAAGCCUUGUUGAGUUGCAAGGAUGUUUGGAAUAUGACCACUUGAUUAAUAUGACUAUGACUUGCCAGUUGUAAGCAGAUUAGUUUUCAACCCUCAUGAAUGUCCAUAUCAACUUACAGGGGAGUAAUGCACAUGUAAAGAGAGUCUUUAAGCAUUCUUUUUGCAGUUUGUGUGAGUCUUAAUGCCUAAUCUCUAUCAGAACAAAUAUGAGCUGCAAAACCCAAGCUUUGGAUCAAACACAUGCAGUGAGAAAGAAGGAAACUUGGCAUUACUGCAGUAUAAUUAAUCCUUAAGAGUUAUCUUUCGGAACUAAGUAUAUAUGAUUACAUUCUAAUAUCAGUUAGAACAAACCAGAUGUGCUCGAAAACCUUGAUGAUUACUUCGUGGUACUCCUUGGAAUUCAGUGACAGGUAGCAAGCAAGCAGCUCCUCCAAAUCCUUGGCUUCCCGGAUGUUGUUCUCCACGAUCAUCUCCACCAUCGACUCCGUGAAGUCCCUGCUGGGGUUUGAGGACGACUUGAUCAUCACCAAGCUCUGAGAUACUGGCCGCCGCUUCUGCUGCGUCGUUGCCACCUUGGGUUUCCUACACGCCUGCACCUUCCUGCUUCCGACCCUGGGAGAGACUUGCCGUACCUUGAUCCCAUGGAUUCCUGACACCGAUCUCCUCGUUGCUGCCUUGCUGUGAUCCGUGAAGGCACCGGUUUCAUGCAGCGCAGGCUCACGUACCUCCUUCUUCACUGGCUUUGUCAGAAUGGGCGGUAGCUUGAGCUCUGACACCACCAAAUCCAUGUCCGCAUUGCGGUGAUCGUACACUGAUGGGUUGGUAGGCUCACAUGGAUCGCACUCAUCACCAUAGAUCGGCAGACUCACAGGGGCUGCAGUGCGACGGCAGCCGCAGCUGGCCGACACAGCCGAGGAGACGACGUCAGCGCAGGGCUUCGUCGCCGUCCUUCUUCGGGUCUGUCGCUUGGAUUUCUGCGGUGGCUCGCCGGGGAAACGAGUGUCGGAUGCUUUGGGGUUGACGGGAGAACGAGGGAGCUUCUCUGCUCGUUCUUUGCUGGGGGUGUAGUAGGAGGCCCUGUUGGGGAGGUAGUCGUGUUCUUUGGGGGGUUGAAAUGGAGGCAGAGAUGCUGCAGAAGCUGUGGCCGAUGCUGAACUCUGGAAUCUCUUCAUGGAAUGCUGAACUCUCCGGCUUCCAUUAGCUCUUCCCACAUCCUUGAGCUUGUAGAACCAACUGCUUGACAUCAAAUCAGACAACCUAAACCUAUAAUUCCCCAUUUAUGAUGAAGCAGUUCUCCAACACAUGCACAGACUCAGUAACCACAAGCAAGAGAAAAGCUAGAAACUCUAUCUUGCAUUAGUCAGCAACACACACAAACACACAACAGCUCUCUCUCUCUCUCUCUCUCUCUCUCUCUCUCUCUCUAUCUCUCUGUGGAUGUUCUUGGUUUGUGGUGGGGAGGUUGAUAUAGAGAGGGUGAUGGGAGAUGAAGAACAGGGAGAAGGUGGAUCAUGGUUGAAGGACUGGGUUUGUGUCCUUGAGCUGAUGGAAGGGUCAAAGUCAGGAAUAGGGUAGAAUCCAUAGGAAGAUAUUAGAUAUGUUUUCUCUCCGAAAACAACCUGCAGAGGAAUCAGUUCCUCAUCUUUUUCAUUUCAGAGCAUUCCUGGAAUUUUAGAUAAGAGCAACGAACAUAAUUAUAGGGUGUGCUUGUAGGCAGACAAAAGAAGAAUGAUCAGGUAGGGGUCCAUGGUGGAGCAUUGAAUGCAGAUGUUAGGAUGGAAUGUCUUUCUUGCAGUCAAAUAAUAUGAUCCUAAGAAGAAUACGAUCAGCUCAAGUCUCCAAACAUGAGUUCGUUCUGUAAAAGAAACUUCUUCAUCCAAAUUCACAUUGAUCUGCUGUCAUCUCUCAAGGAGAGAGAACCAACCAACCUGCCAUUUACUCUCUUUCUUGCUAGCCAUUUUGAGCAACAAGAAUAAUGUCAUGAAUUCAACAUGAGUUCUGAUAUCAAGAAAGAAAACACACACACACAGAGUUCCUAUAUGGAACCAAUGCAGUACAUCAGAUUGAGCAUUUUUGGAACUUCCAAGGGAAGAAGUAUGUCCAGUCUGUCCACUUUUCAUCUAUUUCGUUGGAUGAUAAAGUUUGAGACUAAUUUGAUUCAUGCAAAACAUUUAAGUCUGAUUAACAACAUAACAAUUUUAUAAUGAUUUUUUUUUUCAAGGAACAAAAUUAAUUACUCGAUCGAAAUCGGCUUAAUGAAACAUAUAUGGAUAUGAAUCACUGAGGUAGCUACUGCUUAAUGAAGAAUAUAUGGAUAUGUAUCACCAAACAGAAACAUCCAAAGAAUACUAAUAUCAUUGCUUAAAAGGAACAUAAAGUUGCUCGGUUUAAGAAUCCACAAAGACAGUACCGAGUUCUCAUGAAAAGGAUGAGACCUCUUAGAGAAACUAGAAGACUCGUAAAGCAUUACUGAUUUCCAAUGCAUAAUCUUUUUCCAUUUCCAAAGCAUAAAUUACGUCUGAAUCUUGACUCAGAAACCUCCAAUGGUAUGUAAUUAACCUCAUAAAAUUCAUAGAAUCGAUCUGAAAUCAGUCCUGAGAUUUUACUUCCUUGGAAAACUAGAAGACUAAGGUGGGAAGACACUCCUGUGUAUUUUCCUCUAAUUCAGGAAGAAGGUGCUGUAAUUAGAGAGGUAACUCCAUUGAUCAUUGACGACUGUAGCAGCAGCGGAGCUCGCGAGUCCACGGCGGAGAUGUGAGGAUCCGACCUCAGCUGCAGCCACCAAAGCGGACCUCUGCUCUCAUAGCAUGGAAGGGGACCAAAGCAGAGGUGUCCACCUCGGUGCAGCUCACUGCUGCAUGGGUUUCUUCUCGCUCUGCUAUCCACCUGUGGCUGCCGUAUGAACAAGUGAUAUGGCAUCUGUCAGCUUCAUCAAAUGACGUGCAUGACGCUCACACAUGGAUUCGAAUACGAGACUUAUUAUUUUUACAAUAAAUAUAUUAAAUAAUAAAAAAAUCGAGUAAAUGAGUACAAUAUAAAAUAGCAUUAUAUAUAUAAAAAAAAGAUAAAUAAAAUAAAUAAAUAUUUUGAUAUUGCUCACCAUCAAUAUAACUAAAUUAAAUUUAAAUACCUAAACUAAUUAUAUUAUUUGACCCCUCAUAUUUCUCAACAUUUUUGGAAGGUAUAUUAAUGAUAAAUGUAGUUUCAACGUCAUUAUAGUAAUAAUGAAUUGAUGACUACCAACAAUACCGAUCAAACGCUGUUGUCACCGUUUCGUUGAUGUUGAGGUGGAACGAGAAUAGUUGCGGUUGACCAGUCCUGUCCAUGAAAUAUUCAUCUACAUAAUUUGACUGUAUUACUACUUAUCAUCAUCCUUACACUCAAAUAUGCGAACAUGCAUCAUAAUGAUAAACAUAUUGCAUGGUACAUCAUGAUGUGUGAUUGAUGUGCGGGUGUGGUGGAUGGAGAGCUACUUGGUGUCCUUCAUAUUAAUGGAGAACAGCGACUGCACGCGUAGCCUCCGACUCAGGCCACCGGGGAGGCAGAAGGCAGCAGUGUCAACGUCCCAUCGGAGACUUGCGGAGCUCGCCAUGUGGGGGCACGUCGGAGACUUCAUCAGCCACGAGGGGAGAUGGAAGUGGAGGCGUAGGGAGAGGAGGUGGCACAGUCGAUAAGGGUCCCCAGACGCGGAUCAGAACGCGACGUCAGGGCCAGCGGAAGUGGACGAAGGACGCCGAAGGGGGGCGCAGAGCCGCUGCUGCGCAGGCGGAAAGCACGGCGAGAAGAGGAAGGGAGAUGGGGAAGACAAGCCGCGUGGCUGCGGUACAUGGGGGAUGGCGGAAAUGGCGGCGAGGAUGGCGAGGAAGACGAAAGGAAGCGGGGGAGGACAAGUGGUUGAUGAUGGUGAUUGCAUUGCGUACGUGCCCCCGAGAGAGAGAGAGAGAGAGAGAGAGCAACAUAUUAAAAUUCAUGCAACCCAAUUCAAAUAAUUUUAAUAGAUACUUUAAUUCGAGUUAAAUCCAAACUUGAUUAAUGAAUAUAAUAAUGUGACUUAUAUAUGUCCCAUAUUUGGAUGGGUAUAAGAAAAAUCUCAGCUAGUUUCGUAUUAUAAGAGAGAGAGAGAGAAGGUUGAGAUGGAGGGAAUGAGAAUUCAGCAAUUUUAUUGGUUGGGCCUAACCACAUGAUGACUUGACCCUGUGAGUUGGGCUUGUCUUCUCCUUCUCCGUCAUUCUUCACCGUCCGUCGGAGAAACGAGCUUUAGAGUUCCGUCGAGGAGAGAUAAGUUUCUCUACCUUCCUCACUGGCCGAGCUUCCCAAAUCUCUUUCUAGAGAUGAACUUGAAGGGGAUUGGAAACUCGCGCUGGGCCUUCACAGUCUCUUUGUAGAGACGAAAUUGAAGACGAAUGUAAUAGUUGAAGGAUCAAAACCUUUUGUAUGUCGCACACUAAUAGUGUGGCUCUUUUGCGAACAACACAAAACCUCUCUCUCUCUCUCUCUCUCUCUCUCUCACACACACACACACACACAUCUUCCUCCAAAGAUAGUGGAAAAACAAAAGGCUUGACUUGUCAUGAUGCCACAACGGAGCUGCAAUACUAUACAUAUAUCAGAAAUACCUUAUAAUUAGAGCCUUACAUAUGUAUUCAUAGGAAACUAAAAUCCGAUUCAUGACAACAUAAAAUUACAAAAGAAAGGCAAAAGACACACAGUUGCCUUGUACUCAAAGACUGCCUCUUCUUGUUCUUCUUGCUUUGCUUUGCCAAGACAUGGAGGGGGCUGAGAGACUAGCUUAACAUUUACCUUGUACUCAAAGACUGCCUUUUUUCUUGUUCUUCUUGCUUUGCUUUGCCAAGAUCAGCGGCAGGCUGACAAAGCCUAGCUUCUUCCUCUUUGCAGAAAACUGCUUGAGAGGAGACACACUGGUGUCCCCCUGGUGAGACAAAACUCCAUGCCUUUUGUUCAGCAUUUGACCCAGUGAAACCUUUGGCUUCUCGUUUUCUUUCUCCCAUACUCCCUGGUCAUACUCCUCCGGAGAAUCAGGAUCCAUCAACUUCAUGCUCAGUAUCUGCCCAAUUGACAAUGGUGCCCUUAAUAAACCACCGCUUGGCAUGACGGAAACUAAAGUUGAGCCGUUUGAGUCAAGCACAUGGGAAUCCUUGCCGUGGUGAGCUGCAUAGUUCUUGAACUUCGUAGAGUUUUGAACACUGUGCCUCUUCUGACCAUGUUCGGAUCUCGUCCAUCUCCGCAGAGCAUCUUCAACUGUGAGCUUCCCUCUGUUUGCCGCCUCUACCCUGUUCAGGGCAUUUUCAAGAGCUUUCUUGCAUUUUUUUGCCUCAGCAGUUGCUUCUUCCACCUUCAUUAGUAACUCUGAUUUAGACCGGUUUGCUUCAUCUACUUGAAGCAUGGCAACUUCAAUUUUCUUUCUAGAGGCUAGAUCUGCUACUUGAGCUUUACUUGUUAAGGCGAUGUACUCCUCCACUGAAAGGGUUAUGCCACAUGCGUCCUGAAGACCUGUGAUUAAAUUAUUACUGCUCAUUAAAGCUUUUAUAUCAGCGAGAGACAGAUCCUCUGCUGCUUUGGCCGCUUCUUCCGUUUUCUUAGCCGCAAACCAUCGGAAUUCAGCCGUCUUGAUGCUAGCCUUUGUCUGCUCAAUCUCAGAGGUCAGCUUAGUAACUUCAUUUUUUGUAGCUUCCAUCGUCUUCUUUGACUGUUCUAUCUCAGAGUUCAAUUGUUUGAUUUCUUGCAAAAAACUACAGGGAUCUUCACAUCUUUUACUCUCUAGAUCUUUGACCUUUCGCAAUUUUGCUGUUGUCUGAUUAAGAUCUUCCUCCAGGAAGGAAAUCAAAGAAGUCCUGACUGUCAGCUUUUCCUGGACAUUCUCAAGUAAGAGUUUUUCCUCCUCUAUUUUCAUGUUCAGCAUUUUGAUGGAAGUUCGAAAACCAACCAUAUCACUUGUUGUCCUGUUUAAAGUUGCCUUAGCCUGUUCCAGUUCCACUAAAAUCAGUCCUGGAAAUUGGUUCACCCCUAUGCUUGGGUCAUCCAUAUCCUCGUUCUUCUCGAGGUCAGUGUGUUCAUAUUCUUCAUCUUCAGGAAUAGGAUGAACAUAUACAUCAUAUGAGUCAAUAGCCGGCAUUGCAGUGGCAUCUGAGGUUUCUUUUUGUAAUCUCAAUUUCAAACCAUCCACAAUCUUUUUGGUUAAUUCAAGCUCUUUUAAUACAUCAAGUGUUUCCCUUUCUUUCAGGAUAAGAUCUUUCUCCAGCUGUGCUGCCUGUUCCACCACUUUUAUGACCUCGACUUCCUCGGAGCACUGGUGCUUCUAAUGGAAAAUAUGGCAAGUACAACUCAAUAAUAGAUUAUUCGAAAGGAGUGUGAUCGAAAUAACAAGUUAUAUUUGUCCAUGUUUGACUGAAAAUAGAGAAUGAAAAAAAUCACUGCAUAAGUACUUUUAUUGAAAGAGAAUAAAAUCUGAAUUAAUUGCAUGAAAGACAAGUUCUUUUAAUUUGGCUGAGGCAUAUACAUAGACAACCAACAGCAUAAGGAUCGUAAAGUUGCAUACAUAAAUUUCGUUUUGCUGAUAUUUCAUGGAGAGAAAAAAGGGUAUCAUUGUUAAAUGUCCAUAAAAGAGGGAACAAAAAAGCUUAUUUAUAAAGGUAUAGAUAAGGAAAAAUAAAAUAAGAGGAAACAAAAGGCCCUCAUACCGUAUUACAUGAUCUUCACAGGAGUUUUAUAAUUGUCUUUAAUUAAAUACAUUAGGUUGCAAAGCAUGAAACUAUUCUAUGGAAAAACAAGGAAGAAGAAUAAUUAACUGGCAAUGUGGUUGCAUGAUCUUUGAAGAAGUUUUGUUAUUGGCUUUAUCACAAUGCAUGACAGAACAAAAGUAUGAAAGCACGAUACAAUCAAUUGUGCAAAUUAAGGUUGGAAUCCUAGAACUAAAGCUUAGGAUAGAUGGAGUAAACAGGAUAAUAGUAAAGGGAAUGGUGAUGAUUUAGAUUCAAAUGCUUAAGAUAAUGUAAGUGGGCCAGUGUUAAAGAGGAUUAAUAUGUGAUAUUAAUUAGAGAUAUUAAAAAAUGAUUGAAUCAGUAAAGAGUUAGGGAGUACACCAAAUAUAUGGGUAAAUCACCCAAGUUUAUCUACAUAUGACCAUAGAACGACUACAAUACAUUAUUGCACUUACUGAAUUCAAAUUAAAUGUGUGGAGAAAGAGAUGCACAGAAGAAGAAUUGGUUAAAAAUAAGCAAUGCACAUGGUAGAUCCUCAAUUAUUCAGGGGCAUUGACCUUGAUAAAUUUCAAUGAUGCAAAAGGAUAUACAAAGCCAACCCCCGAAUAGGUGGAAGAAGAAACAUAUGACAUUGUCCACAGGAUUCCUCCUAGCAUCCGACAACAUUCAUGCACCUAUCACAGAAAUGACAUAUAGAUGUUGCAACCAGCUGUAACAAAAGUGUUGUAAAUGGGCAACAAGUAAUAAGAUCAAUAAGAAUUUACUAUCAUUCUCCUCCACCGAAUUAAAGUCCUCUUCUGCACAGAUUUUGAGUGCAACCGAAUAAAGUGCAAGCUUUUCAAAGGAGACCAAAAUUGAACGCUUUGUGAUCAAUCAACAUUCCUUUUUCCCUUUCUCUUUCGCUUAAAAGCUUAACAAGACACCUAAAUUCACGAUAAGUAAUUGAAAAAUCUGAAAUUGUAACUCAUAUUGUAGAAAAGAGACUACAAGGACAAAAAUCUUCAUAUGGAGAACAAAAUGUAGACAAAAAGAGCGAAAAAAAAGCGCAACUUUAAUACAGUAGUAACAAAGAGAGUACCGAACAUUUCGCCUAGCAAAGAACAAAAACAAAGAAGGAACGCCCAACAGGAAGAAGCAAACUUACUUCGGGAUUAACUAUCUGCUUGGGCUGCGACUUCCAGACGGCGCUCCCACCGAAUCGGUCCACGGCCUCCUUCACCGACUCGAACGGCGCCGACGUGUCAAUCUCCGCCCUCACAGCCGCUGCCCCGCUCGAAUGAGACGCCACAGCCCCGUCCAUCGGCGGUCCGUCUCUUCGAUUCUUCGACGACUUUGCGGUCAUUAGAAACCCUAAAAGCCAGUGAAGAGAGCGCUCGAAGAAGAGAGAGAGAGAGAGGGAGAGAGUAAGGGGUAAGAGGGAGGGGAAGAAGAGCAUAUAGGAAGAAGGUGUGGUUACCAAAGUGCCCUUAAGUAACGGAACUAGAUGAUAAACCUACGCCAUUCUUUAAUUCCUAUACGUCCAAUUGCACUGACUCUGCGGGAGCCAAAGGGGCGUUCGAUCAGUGGAACGAUGGGUGUGUUUAUAAAGCGCGGUACGUUUACUUGAUCUGCCCGUUGGCUUUCGCGAAUCUCGAGACAAAGAAGACCGUUGGGCACCGUUCAGACGUUGAUUAGACGAAGUUACCCUUAAACAAUGAUCAGUAUUGCGCUUUUACUGUGGGCCAGAAUUGGACCGCAGUUGGACCGUUAGCCUUAACCAUGACACUAUAAUGGUUAUCAAAGGCUUUUGCCGGAAUAAUUAAUACAGUUAAAACAUAUUUUAAGACAAAUACUAACUCAUUAAUUUAAGUCGAGGAUAAAUUAUUUAUUAUUAUAUUUCAAAAAAUACUAAUGUCAAAGUAUCGUCACUCAAAGGGCAAACUUAAUUAUUAACUUUGAUCAUGUUGUUAUAUAGCCUAACACCUAAUUAUGCCAUAUCAUGGUAAGUCCUUCUUCACUUUUCCUUUUUGAUUAUUUUUAUGAAUAGAAUAUCCAGUAUUAUAACUAUACAUUAUGGAUUACCAAGUGAAUUAAAAAAAAAGAAAUGCCAGUUUUAAUUUCGUAAGUAUCAUGAUCUAAAAAAUUCAAUCAUGCAUUGUCUUAUUUCAUGAGACCAAAUCUCCGAAACAUCUCUUUUAUCUCUUUUCUUCUUCUUCUUCAAGUUUCAGAUAUCUUUAUGAUUUUAACUAGUUGAGCAAACAUUUCUCAUUUACAUUGAUAAGGUUGAAUUCCAAGGUGGGCUACACAGGAGUUAUUGCUUUCACAUAGUGCUUGCUUGUGCUCCAGUUUACUUCAGAGCAACUCAUUAUGGAAGCGACAUGCAUAACUCUCAUGCUGAUCUAUCAGAGCUUAAUGUGUUACAUCAUGUUAUGAUUGAUGAAACCUCACAUGGUGACUCUCUUAGUAGUGAACGGUACUGUUUUAGGGUUAUGAACAGUAGUAUUAGAUCUUUUGGUUCAGCACAGGGUUGCAUAUCCUAACUAAGCUCACAUAAGUAUUAUUUCUCUGGAUUUUUGUAUGAUUUGUGCCUCACAAUCUGUCACCCUCACCUCAUUACUGCCAUCCAACACCAACCUAACCCAAAGUGGUGUUUGUCUGCAGGUACAACAAGCAGGAUCAAUGAACAGUCUGGAAUCUUAACCCCUUGUCAUCACCAAAUCAAGAGGCUGUGCUAAAGCUCUGACCACUACGGCAAUAUGAUGCCUUUCACUACAAAUUUUAUUCUGAGAAGAAGCAAUCCCGCUACAUGUCCAUUGCCUAUAAUUGUAGCAUUGCACUUACUUUAUGGUUUAGUACACCGGAAGACCUACAAAGUCCUGCAUUCAUUUGUCUGAGGUCCUGGUUCCUCUCUCUCUCUCUCUCUCUCUCUCUCUGGGGUAAAGAUGCUGUCUAGUAGCUCAGAUCUUCCCAAAAGCUCUCUCCAAAUCAAGCAGGAUGACAAGUUCUACACCAGGAUCCUCUCCAAGGAGAGCUCAGUGGCCAAUCCUUCCUUCAGAGUGUAUUACGGAAUGGCAACAGGGGCUGUGCCUUUCUACUGGGAGUCUCAGCCUGGGACACCCAAGCACAUCAGCUCCACCACUGCCCUCCCUCCCCUCACACCUCCCCCCUCCUACUACUACAGUCCCAGGAACAAGAGCUCCAAGAAGCCCUCCAAGUCCAGCUUCGUCCACGCCAUACUCCCUAAGAUCAGUCUGAUGAGGAAGUCACCUUCGUCGUCCGUCUCCUUAUCUUCCUCCUCGGUUUCGUCCUCUUCCUCGUCGACGGCGUCCGGGCGCUCUAACCAUCAGAGAAGGCCUUCAAGCCCACAGUCGUCCUUCCAGUCGAGGGGCGACGAUGAGGAGUCCGACGACGAGUCCCCGACGUCGACCUUGUGCUUCCGGAGCUGCCAAUCGGUGGUGCCUGUGAAGUGCGCGUUGUUGUCGGCGGUCCGGCAUGGAUCUGGCCAUGCAACCUCUGCAUAGUAGUCACAGAUCAACACCUUGCAAUAUGCUCAUGUAGUUUGGGGUGCAACAUUUAUGGUGGUAACUAAAUCUCAUCUGCCAAACAAGAGAGAGAGAGAGAGAGAGAGAGAGGAUGUGUAAUAGCACAGAAAUGUGAAGUGCUUCGUUCACUUCUCAAGAAUAAUGUGAGACUAAUAGUUUGUAUUUGCUUAACUCAUGCUUCCUCCCAAUAUCUAUCACUGCCGUAUUCUCUCCCAUAUCAUACUAUUACUGCAUGCAUGUAAGAUGUGAUACCAAAAUGGAGUUUAGUUUGAUGGGAUUACCAACAUGGAACAAUAAGAUUACAGAAAAAAACAGAAGAAAAAGGAAAGAAAGAUGGCAUUGAAAAAGGACAGUAGAGUGGGACAUGGAGACACUCAAAAACUGGUCCCAGAAACAGCUAGAGCGGAAAGAUCAAUGUAGCUUCCACCUCAGUAUUUAAUUCUAUACUAAAUGAGUUGGAAUCUCACUCUCCUCCUUCAUGAUGCAUGUGGGCAUGCAUGAGAAAAUGAGACCAUGAACAUUAAAGAAAGGAGUCAAGUCUAUGAAUCAAGCAGCAGAACCAUCUUCUCAGAUUUCAGUGUUCUUGCAACCACUGCCCAAUCUUGUGCAGCUCAAAUUUUCUGGAUUACUAUGCAUCCAGCAUUGUCUCAUAGGCAGCUUCCUGUCACAUGGAGACCGUGAUAACAGUGUUCACUGCGACAGCCUAGGUUGAUCAAGAGAGAGAUGAUAUGGGAUACUUUGGAAUUAAAUGUUGGAAGUUAAAGUUAGAGAGAAAGAGAGAGAGAGAGAGAGCAGAUCCUUGCUGCUUUCUAUUACUUCUAAUGCUUGGCACAUAUCAUAUCAAUUCUAACUCAUCAUCUUUUGCUUUGAAGCCUAGCCUAGGAAUGGUGCUUCUUUCGCUUUUGCUUUGUUACCGUCAACAUCAUGUCGUGGAUUUUUUCCUUGUACUCUUAUUCUUUUGUCUUUCUUUCUAUCUAUUUGUAUAUAUUUUGUCUUUCAGAUCUUCCAAAUAUGUGUUACUCACUCUAAUUUUGUUGUUUAUAUCAUAUUUCUUCUUAUCCUAUUUUUGAUGUUCAUCAAAUACUUCAUCUAUUUUUUUUGUGAACUUACAAGGAUAUAAUUCAUGAAAAUUUAAUGGGAAUGGAGAGUUGAGCUCUCGAAUAGUCCAACUAUUUGGAGGAAAGUAAGAGUAGAAAACAUUGAUUAUUAAUAUAAAAUAUUUUUAAAAAUAUAUAUAUUCAUUAUUAUGAUUAUAAAAUUAUUUAAGGGUAAAAUAUAUGUAGCAUAUUCUUGAAUGCAUCCUACAAAUUUAACCUAGAGAUCAAUAUAUAUAUUAGAAAUAAUCUAAAUAGCUGGUCAUUAUUUGGUACUUCUACCUUUUUUGGUGAUAGAAUCAUUUGUAACGGACAGAAUGGACACAAAUGAAUGAGGUCUUUGUUCUUCAGCCCAUGGCUGAGCUAAAGAGAUAUUGUGACCAUCAUGAAUCUACAACCAUAAAUCCAAAUCAUAUUGUUGGUCAUCAUGCCACUACCCAGCAAUUCUUGGGACCAUUUCUUUUUCUUACUUUUCCUGUGAAAAUAUAUACACUCCUCCAAUGGAAACUUUUAUCAGGAAGGUACUUGGAAUCCAAGUCAACUGCACAUAUUUGCUGAGAUUGAUAUAUAUAUUUUGUUGGAAAUUUUUAUUUAAUAUUUAAUUUACUUUUAAUAAUCAUGGUAGAGAAUUCUGCUUAAAUAGAAUAUAUAUAUAUAUUUAAAAAUAUGAAAAUAAUUAUUUUUCAACAAAAAACUUUAUAUUUAAAAAGAACUAAUUGAAGAAUUCUUUUUGAAAAUUAAGGAUUGGAUGCUCCAUAAAUACCAUAUAUAAUUAUAAAUUUUGUUAAGUACAUAAUACUUUCACAACUUAUAGGAAUCUUUUUAAUGUAUGCAAAUCUUAAGUUCUUAAUAUUUGUAUUUACUUAUUGAUUCUUUUGUUUGCUUGUCUUGAGAUACAUGUUUUUUGUUUUCUUUUCCUUUUCACAGUAAGUAUAUCAGACAUCUCUUCCCUACUUUCAAGUGAAUAUGCAGAUUGGAGCAUACUGACUUUUAGCGUGAAGUCCAUUGGUUAAGGCAGUUGAGACAAAAUGUGUCACAUCAUGGAUUUAUGAAAAGAAUAAUAAAUUAAUAUUUUAUUAUUCAUAAUUUAUAAAAUAUUUUUUUAUUAUUUUUAGAUUAAAUUCUUAUUUUUAUAAUAAUAAAUAUUUUAUUAACUAGAAAAAUGACCGCAUGUUCUUGGUAGGGUCAAAGUUUCUUCAACUUAAGUUUCAUAUCUAUGUGUUACAUAGUAAUAGAUUAUUCUGAAAUUAAAUAUAAAAUAAAAACAUAUCAGUAACCACACAUGUUAUUAGGAACCUCAAAAAGAUCAUAAAAAUAAUUUUCAAUAUUCAUAAAAUAUAAAUAAAUAUCAAUAAUUCAAUAAUAAAAUAUAUCGAUUCAUCAUAAAACUUAUGCAAAAGAAAAACGAUGAUAAUUUUUUACAUAAUAAAUAAAAUCAUCAUCAGCCACAUGUAACACAUAUAUAAUAACAAAGACGUACGUCACCCGAUGGUGCACUCUCUCAACAGCCACAUGUAUCUCUCACCUGUCCAAGUGGGGACAUAUUCCUCCCAACAGCAGAUGGAGAAACUAUCUAACCAUCAUGUCUAACGGCCUGCUAAUCCCCGAAGGGAAUCGCCAUACCUACCCUCGGCAAGAAUACAUAAACAUCCAUAAUCAUUCAUUUACACUCAUCCAUUCACUCACACAUAUAUCAAGAAAUCAAUAUGAUUAAAUAUUAUGAGACCAUACUUGAUGUAAAUCUGCUAGACUAUAUUCAUUGGUGGCUCCGCACUGUGAUGGGUCGUAGCUCCUUUCACAUGUUGCAUUCCCAAUAUGAACUACUAGUCUAGUCACAUCUACUACAUGAUAUUAAUCAUAUCAAUAUCAUAAAUAUAAAAAAAUAGAAAAUCAAUAAUCAUUUUGAAAUGACAUAUUCAAAUAAAACCUUUAAAUUCAUCAAAUCAUAAACACAUAAAACAUCAAUCUCUCAAAACCCUAAUUGGAAUAGCUCAAUUGACUUAAACCAAACUCAAUUCGAUUAUAAUCUAACGGAACCAACCUCAAAUCCUUAUAGAACCCGUCUGGAAUCACCUUAGACUAGUCUAAUUUAGAUUUGAUUGAUCUCGAUUAGAUCAAAUAGAUGUAAACUAAUCAAGUUAGUUUGAAAUCACCGUAAACCGGCUUUAACUGAUCAAACAUGUCUGAUUUAGUCAAUUAAUGAUCUUAAACCAAUAGAGAGGAAGGAAAUUAGACUAUAUCGUAUAGUGCUAACCCAAAAUGAACCACCCCACUGGAGUCUUGGACGGGUCACAUACACUGCAUAUACCUGUUCUAAGUAAUAGGUUGAGGUACGACAGGCUAUAUAAAAAGAGCGACAAUAUGUCUAAUGUCAAUCGCAUAACUAGGCAGGCUUAACUUCAUUGACUAGGCUAAGCCUCACUUAUAAGUUUGACUGAGUUUUACCAUUGAACUAGGUUAUACUUAGCUUGCGAGUUGGUCUUAAAGACAUGAGUUGGUCGUAUCUAACCAUAUGGACUGGGUCGUACCUAGCCGUAUGAGCUAACCCAUGCCUAGCCAUAUGGUUGGGUCAUACCUUAUCAUAUGAGUUGGGCCAUACAUGACUAAAUGGACUGGAUUGUACAUAGCCAAAUGAGCUGGACCAUGCCUAGCCACAUGGUUGGAUCGUACCUUACCACAUGGGUUGGGUUAUAGAUAGCUGCAUGGACUAAAUCGUACCUAACCACAUGAGUUGGGUCAUGCUUGGUCACAUGGGUUGGGUCAUGCCGAGUCACAUGGGCUAGGUUAUACUUGGUCAUAUGAGCUAGGUCGUACAUGACCACAUGGGCUGAGUCAAUUCGAUCUGAUCGAUCAACUUGACUCAAGUCAGAUCCCAAUUAGACUCCUCUUAUCAAAUUAGAUUUUAAUAUUUAAAAUUAUUAAAGAAUGACUCAAAUUCAUUAAUAAAAACUUUAAAUUCAUAAUCUUAAAUUUAAAACUAAUUAAUUAUAUAAAUUCAUAUAUAAUUCUUGAAAAUAGAUAUAACUGAUUAAAUAAAUUAGAACUAUUAUGCUAAUCCAAAAAUAAGAAUUUUAAUAAUUAAAUUAAUAUUAAAAUUCACUUAAGCUUAAAAGAUCAACAUAUAUUAAAUAGUCAUUCUAACAUCACAAAAUAAAUAUUAUUAUUUAUUAAUCAUAAAAUUUUAAAACUAAAACAUCAUUAUGCAUCAUAAAAUUUUAACAAUCUUAACAUUAAGAUUUCAAAAUAUAAAUCAAAGUUAGUUAAAAAAGAAAGGAUCCUACCUCUCUUCAAUUAUAUCAUUUCCCCGGAAGUCCUCUCCUCAAUCCUCCCAUUGUUAGAAUUAGUGAGGAACGAAGGAGGAAUAGCUCCCUUUAUAUAGGAGAAGAUAAGAUCUCCCCAAAAGAUAAGUAAUAAUUUAAUUUUUAUUUUUAAUUUAUUUUUAUUUUGCUUUCACACAUAAAGAAAGUAAUAUAAUAUUCAUUUCUUAUAGUUUACACACAAAAAUGGAUUGUAAACUAUUUACUUCCUAAAUAUCAAAUCACUUAGGAAAUAAAUCAAUUAAUAAUUUAAUUGAUUAGUAGAAUUUUUAACUUAUUCAUGUGAUUAAGAAAACUAAAUUUAAUUAUUUUCUUGAUUAUAGUAUAUAAUUAUAGAAAUUAAUAAUAUAUAUUACAUCAUUUAUAGUAAUUAAUCUAUGUUAUGUGAGAAAUUAUUGGUGAUUACAAAAUGGAUGGGUCAAUGCAUUGACUACUUUGACAUAAAUGGGGUAGGAAUCCUAAUGCCAUGAGAGGCAACUUGUUAACAAGCUUGAUUGACGUAUAGGAAAAGGAAUUCAGUGUGAUUGAUUGAGCACUACAGGUCGUGGAUGCAUGCAGCUUCCUACUGGUUAAAGCUUCAUUCUGAAGGGAUGUCAGAGUAGCAGUAUCGCAUGAAGUAGUCCUUAGAACAAGCUUGUCAGCUAAGAUUAAAUCAAACUAGCAUUCUAACCCUUCUCUUAGGAAAAGUAAAGGAAGAAUAGACAAAGACAACACACUAGCAUUCUGUCCACACAAGCCAUAUCUCUAAGCUUUGCUCACUUUGCUAACACCUUGCAUUUGGCACAUCAUGCUUUCAUAGUGGUUUACAUAUGCUGGGCCACUGAAAGGAACACAACCACCACUUCCAUGGCUCGAAUAAAGCGAGGAAUAAACCAAAGCGUUAUCUUUUCCACCCUCCUUGACGCACUAUAGCGUAUCCACAAAGAAAUGUUGCAUCCUAUCAUUGCAAUCUGCUUCUUUUCAAAUGAAGAAUAUAUAUAUAUAUAUAUAUUCUUCUUCUUCAGCUCUUCCUGUCGGCAGAUUCACUCCCUAUAACUUUCUUUGUGGCUCAACGCCCAACACAUACUUCAUCAGCACUACUUCUAACAUCGAUCGGUCAUAAUCCUAUUGUGAAAGAGAGACAAAUUUUCCAAGUUUACAUCACUAAAUAUUGGCUCAUCUCACUUGUGUUGAUCUUGUUUCCUCCAUAAUAUAUCUUUUUCAUACAUUGACUACAAGUCUUCAAAAUUGUCUUCAUGUCAAAUACCACACACUGACAAGAAAAAUAUAAGUAUUUGGUCAAGGAACCAUACAAACUAUAAGGUAUUAUGUAUUCCCAGCAUUCAAGUCACAGAACAAGAUUCAUGUGAUUCAUCGAGAUCAAUGCAUAAGAUUAAUUUUCCCAAAAGAAUUAUAUGAUUUGGUGGUUAAUUUCCGAAAAGAUCGAUUUAUUGUAUUUUCAGGUGUCCUACAUCAAUAAGGAAAAAAGAGGAAGACCACUCUAGCAUUAUAAAAAGUGAUUAUAAAAAUUGUUGUAAUAUGAUAAACUCUAUAAAUUAUAUAAGAUAUGCAUCCUUGCCUUCUAAAAGCAUCUAAUAAGCUCUUGAUGAUGAGAUAUUUUUAGAAUCUAAAGUGACUGCUGUGUGCUUGAUAUUAACUUUAAUCAAGCACUUGAGUUAAUUAAGAUCAAGCUUCUCAGGGUUGUUCACAUGGCAUUUUAAUUUUGAUUCUGAUGAGUGUGGAAGACCAACAAGCAUGUCCAAAAUGAACAUGAUCAAGACACUUACAGUCCUUUCAUGUUAUCACAUUUGCUUAGACAGUGCAACACCAAAAAUGGCUAAGCAAGUUAUGAGUUGCACAACCAGCAGCUGCCACAUUAAAGCCCACACAUCCACAGAAUGAACAACCACAUUUAACUCAAUUUUAUGAAGAGUGGGAAAUUAACAUGAAGGUCCUAAUUAGUGAUAUAUUUGAAGGAAUGUCUACGUAAUGCUACUAGCUUAGGAUGUUGAUCGUCAAACCAAUGAUUUUUCUGAGACACCAAAUGUCAAACAGCUAACUAUCCCUUAGUCUCUUUAACUUCUUUUUAAUCUGAAUAAUUAUGUAGGUUUAAUUUCUACUUGGAAAGCAUACCUAUGAUCCAAUCGAUGUAGAACUUGUGGGUUUCUCAUGCAAAGAUCAUGUCUUAUGUGUUAGCAAUUCGAGGAUUAUGUACUGCAUGAAGGAAUUUUUGGUGUAGCGUUCAAAGGCUUGGAGAAGUGUGAUGGCUAGAGUUGGUAAACCCUCUCUUUCCCUCUGUGUGUGUGUGUGAGAUACAAAGGCUUCAUCGAGAGAGAGAACGGAGAGCGUUACCACAAGCAAAAGGGCAUGUCAUAUAUGAAGUUAUAACCAUCUUUGUUCCUGUUAGUGUCUAACAACCUUAAGCCGUGGCCUUGGGAUUGACACGGCUUGGUUCGGGUUCAGAUGAUGGGGAUCUUCCUGGGACGCUCUUCCGAUUGGGAUGGGGUCACCGUUUUCGCUGGGGGAGGACUCCUCGCUUCCGGGUUUAGUGGACGUUUUCCGAGGAUCACCUGCACAAAGGUCGGAUCGGGGAGCUCGACCCGACCCCUCCGACGAUCAAGUUAAAUGAAGUGAAGAGGUCUUUUUUGUGUGUGUCUCCUCUUGGCCCCUUGCUCCUCUCGGGAGCGGAGUUUUUAUAGGGUGACUUGCUGUGUUUGCUGUGCCUGUUUUGCAUGGAGCAGGAUCGUACUCCCGGCCACAUCUGACAGCGGUGUUGGCGUGGCGUGAAGGAUUUGGCCUGAGCAGGACGUUAAUGUGUCUCGGCCGACGUUCUGGUCCGUUUGACUAGGUGCUGUCGGGUCGAUCGAGACGUGAGGCGUCAUCUGGGGCAGUUGACGUCAGCCCGAGUCUUAUCGCCAUUAUUAUCCUCAUCACUUCCCUAAGAGCUGGGCAUCUUCUUCCAGCUCCACAGAAUAUUACAGCUCCAUCACCAAUAGUAAUGUUUCUUUGCUCGGGUAGAAGUUUUCUUGAUCAUGCUGAAGAAUAUGUUGGUUUCGUAUCUUCCUUUGAUUUUGGAUUUUAGUUAUCUAGGUAGUUAUCAUAUUCCAGGUAAUUAUAGAUAUGUUCUAAGUAGUGAUCCAUGAUCUAGAAGUUAUAGGGUAGUUCCUAUACCAAACUCAAUCAUGAAUGAUAUAAUGGAAUGAGGUAGUUACUACUGGAUCCUAUAAAUAGGACUGAAGCAAGAGGGUGGGUGUACACUUUAAAAUAUCAUAUUUAGUUUUUAUCAUUUUUUUACUCCUCCAUCCCUAAUAUUGAAUACGCAUGUAUAGUAAUAUUAUACCCUCCUGUCCUCGCCCUCGAAAAAGAAUCAAAAGCAUCUUCACAAAUAACUCAAGCGAAGAUUUGGUCCUUUAGAUAAGAAGCAAAAGGCUCGGGGAGAUCUCCUCGAGUCUGUGUUUACAGCAGAUAAUUAAAGAGAGACGGAGAUGCGAGCCAACUGGGAUCCAAGGUUUUCCUGUGCAUUUGACCCGGUUGUCAAUAUCAAAGACUUAUGAUUUGAUUCUUAUUUGGUGGGUAAUGACUUCUUAAGGAUUGGUCAUUGACUUUUCUUCACCCUAUCCCUGUCUUGGCCCAUGUAACACUGACAGAGGGUAUUCUAUGGUUCUUAACCUUUAGGAUUUCAGCUAUGAGCUGAUAAGAGGAGCUUCCAUUCUCCCAUCACACUACAACUUGUAAUGUGUCCUUUUCUUAUACUUGAAGAGGUGGGAAGUGGCUUCCAUGAUUGUGUUGUAUCUAUGAAUCUAUCUUUUAUACUGUGCCCACUAACCCAACGGAUAAGGUUUAGAUUCUAAUUAAGAUGGCUCCACCAUAUUGCAAGCAAUUCGAGACAUCUCUUAUCAUCAUUCCAUCCAUCUUCACUUUGAGUUAGCAGUUGUGCUCUACUUCCUCCCAAAUGAAUCGUAUGCCAUAAAAGACCUCAUCGGAUGCACUCUGUUUGCCUAUUCUCACACUUCUUUUUUUAUGAUGUCAGUCGUAUCCAACUACGUAAGACAAGAUUUGGUAUUUAGUCUCAUAUAUAAGUCCUGUGGUUUUGACUCUCGAUUACAGAAAUAAUUGCACACUGAUUAGUACAAGAAGAGAGAGGAGUUGGCAUCUACGCAUAAUAGUAGUCCAGCACGGUGUCACACUUGAACCCCAAGUGAAGCUGGAGGGGCGUCCAUGACCUUCCCUUCCAUCUGCAGGCACACCACCUUCCCCUCCGCCACCUCCAACGCCUCCUCCUUGUACUUGUACUUGCUCGACACCCACACGAAGAUGGCCAGGUUGAUGGCCGAUACGGACAUCAGGAGGCCGUAGUAGUAGUCCAAGUGCGAUGAGUUGAUGUUGUUCCCUAUCCAGCUCUUCCCCCCUCCCGCCCUCGUCACCCUGUCCACCACCGUCACCAAGAGGCUGUUGAGGAAGUUGCCGACGCCGAUGCCGCUGGUGAAGAACGUCGUCCCGAGGCUCUGCAUCCCCUCCGGCGACUGGUCGUAGAAGAAUUCCAGCAGCCCGAUGGCGUUGAACACGUCGCCGACGCCGAGCAGGACGUACUGCGGCAGCAGCCAGAAGAUGCUCAUGGGCACCACGUCCCCCAGCCCGGCAACGCCGCUCUGCCUGAUGACGUGCAUCCGGCGGACCUCGACGGCGUAGGCGACGAGGGUGAGCAGGACGUGGAAACCGAAGCCGAUGCCGAGGCGCUGCAGGAGGGUGAUGCCGCGGGGGUUGCCGGUGCGGCGGCGCAUGAAGGGCACGAAGUAGCGGUCGUAGAGCGGCACGGCGAGGAGCAUGGAGACGGUGAUGAAGCUUCCGAGGGAGGCGGCGGGGAUCAGGAAUCCGUGGCCGAGGCGGCGGUCCAUUGUGGUGCCCUGCUUCACGAACAGCGUGUUCGCCUGGGCCCAGAUGGUGCUGGGGACGAGGGUGGCGAACCAGAUCACCGUCAUGCCCAGCACAAGCUUCGUCUCUUGGACUUGCGUCACUGUGCAUGGCUUGGCCGCUUCCUUAAUGGCUGCCCUGUCAAGGAACCUGUAAAGAAGACAACAGUGGCAGUUAACAGGAUUAUCUGCCAUCGCCAAUGCAAAUGAACAGACAUUUCUGCAGGUUUAAGCUUCUAUGUAGAUCGACGAUGGUGCCAGUGAUUUGACAUGAUGUCUCGUCUUUACUCUCGAUCUCCAUGACACAAUGGAGAUAUGGCCAGCUUGGAAUGGAAGUCAAAGAAGUCCACUCACAGGCCACUCUGAACAGGGUUGUGCAGAAUGGUGUAUCAAAUGACUUCCCUCUAAAGUGCCCCUACAGCUAUCCCCAGUAUGAAGGAAGUCAGAAAACACUGCAUCACUUUGUAGUGGAUCCAAUCCCAAAAGAACAGGAAAAAGCUAAGAACAGCUUCUCACAGUAGAACGCAUCAUAUGGAUACAGCAGAAGACGAGAAGAGGGCGUGACCUGAAGGAAGAGUUAUAGUGCAGUCGCCGCUUGCCGGUGAGCAAGUAAUGCUGCGGCUCGAGCUCGUAGAGCUCGGCCGGGUCGUCGGGCAGCUUAAGCUGGCGGUUGGCAAUGGCCGCCGCCCAAACCCGGGCCAUCUCCGCCGCCGGGCUAUUGCUCUUCCGAGCCUUGUGUCGAUAGUUGGGAGUGCCCAUGUAGAAGACCACGAGUGAGACGGCGAGCCCCGUGGUAGGGAUGCCAUACCCGACGCCCCACCCGACAUUCUCCUGCACGUAGACGAGCCCGAGCGUGGCCAUCAGGGCGCCGAGAAACGUGCUGAACAUCCACCAGUUGAAGAAGGACACCUUCAGCGUCCGCUCGUGGGGGUCGAAGUCGUCGAACUGGUCGGCGCCGAAAGUGGAUAUGUUGGGCUUCGUCCCUCCAGCGCCAACCGCCAGGAUGUACAGGGCCCCGUAGAAGAACGCGACCUGCGACGGCGUCGCCUUGUUGCAGACGUCGUCAGUGCAACUCGGCCUCAACGACUUGAUGGAAACUACCAUUGUCAAGAGAACCAUGCCCUGCGGAAAUCACAUCAGUGCAGGUUGGGAAAGUGAUGCAUCAUGUCGCCUACUGUGAAAGAUUCCUCUACUGAAACAAUUCACAUUAAGCAUGUUGGUUCACAUAAUGCAUUGCAACAGAGAGAAAAGGAAGUGUGGGUAGGACAAAGGAAAAGGUGGGAGGCAGCAACACCAGUUAGUGUUCUUGGUAGUGGCCCUCUUCUUUUACCCAUUACCGUUCAAGAGAACAGAAUCCAAUCUUUUCCGAGGAUGUGAUGAGGCAACCGAGUCCCUUUAGACCACCAGCUUUCACCAUCGAGAUGAGUGGAGAGUGGAGAGUGGCGAGAAAGGAUUCGAAAUCCAAUCAAUCAAUCAUCCAAGACUUGGCUCAUCCCUCACAACUCAAAAUCAAACCCAAAACUCACCAGGAAUCUGAUCGCUGCCUCUCAUGCUAACACAAUGCUGGAUUCAUCUAAUGAAAACUAUGGCAUAUUUGAGGGAGGAAACAGUAGUGGAAGUCCAUGGCAAAACAGUGCUGAGUUCAUCUAGGAAUAGCUGAGGCUCUCGUAUCGGCUCUUACCAGUACAUAAACGAGGGAGGAAAUGGUGAAGGUCCAGAACCGGCCCAAGUAGGUGUCGGCGAUGUAAGCGCCGAGGACGGGCGUGAUCCAGACCGAGCCGGACCAGUUGUUGACGUUCCUCACAGACGAGACUGUGUCCUCAUGCAGCUGCGUCGUCAAGUACACCACAAGGUUUGAGGCCACGCCGUAGAAGGCCAUCCUCUCAAAAGCUUCAUAGCCUGCAAUCACGUCGAACUGUAAACUUAGCAUCUUCCAUGAUCAGAAACUCUCUCACCUCAAGUGCAGCUUCUGUAGCUGGGUUUACCGACGAGGAAGGCGCAAGCUCUCCAUCUCCCGGUCUGAGAAGCAAGCACAGGGCGGCCAUGGAGAUCAACUGAUCCAUCCUUUGUGUAGCCUUUGUCAUCCAUUUGAAGCUUCAGCUACUGCUCGACAACUUUCGGCUGUACGGUGGACUUCAAAUGAUCAAUCUGUGAGGACUGAGCAAGAGAGAGAGAGAGAGAGAGAGAGAUGGUGAGGCGGAGAAAGAUGAAGAAGAGAGAAAGGAGGUGAAGAAGAUAGCUCUGAGAUAACGAUACCACCGAGCACCAGGUCUUUGGAGCUCAGCACUUAAAUAAGCUACUCGGAUGCAACAAACGUUCGACGGUGGACAUGAACGCAUUUUGCCUUGUGGUCUUCUUAAGCUUUUGCGUUGUGAUUCAUCUCUUUGUCCUCGUCUGAUGGGAUCCUUGCCCAACUUUGGCACAUCCGGAUGCACACUGUUGUUUCUCUAUCGUGAAGGGGAAUUCAGAUGACUAGUAUUCUUCACUGUUGUGAUGAGUACUUGUAAUUGCCAGCUAUUGCUUUUGUCACCUAUCGAUCUUCCAUUAAUUGCACCAGUUGGAGGGAUCCGUCUAAGGUCGCAUGAUCAUGUGAAGACAUGAACAUAAAUGAUUGAUAAUUUCGAGGCACUACAAUAAUUACAUGGCACAAAAUGCAAGGCUUGGUGUGAACACCUCCAUGUACACGUUAGAAUAUAAAUAAUAAGAAGACAAGGUUUUAUAUUCUUUGAUAGUGUUUCCUAUAUAAUAGAACAAACAGAUGAACAUUCUCAAUUCCCAACCAUACAAAUGAUUUUAAGUUGGAAAAAUCACAAAUAUCCCUAAAAAUAACUUAUUUUCAUAUUCAUUUCUCUAAAUCUUAAGUAUAGAAUAUAUACAUAUAUAAAUUCUAAAAUUUGAAUGUAUGUCAUUGGUGUCCUUUAAAAAAUCAAUAUAUAUAUAUGUAUAUAUGUAUAUGUAUAUGUAUAUAUAAGUAUAGAUUGUGAAAGGGAAUCACAUAAUGGAGGACAAAAUCCAACUCCUCAUCUCCUUGAAUUGACUAUUCUCUCAUUGACAAAGAUAUUGGCCCAUGCUGGACCUCCUCUUGCUUGCAGACCUGUGAAAGCUGAGCCAUGGCGAGACCGCGCAUUGUCAAGCACUCACCAGCACAGUCAAUGGAGAACAGUGAGGCUCAGCAUCAGUACAUGCCGCAGAAGGCCACUCAAAAGCACCUGGUGGGGAAUCUUGACCCACCAUGGCGCCAUUUUUCUGGCGGAUAUACUGCAACAACAGCCUGUUCCUGCUGCCGCGACUCGGAGAAAGCAUCUUCCCGAAUUUUCCUCCCCUGAGUGGUCUUCUAUGAAUCCUAGAUCACUGCGUUUCCUUGGAUCAUGGGCGCAAUAGUAGAGCAAGCUUUUCUUUUCAUUAGAUGACUGCAAUGUGUUCCCAAAAGACCUCCUUUGACCUGAGCAAGCUUAUGGAGAACCUUCUUUUUUUCCUCUCAUGUCAUUUCAUGGAAGUUGACCUGGAGUUCCUGGCUUCAUCCUCAGUCAGUGAGGGCUCUUCUUUACUUUUUGUAUUGCUCUUCUAAUGGAUUCCGUCUUUCCACUUUUCCUUUUGUCCUCCUUCUCCUCCUCCUCCUUUCUCUCUCCCUUCUUGGUUGGAGAGAGAGAUGUGUUCCUGUGCAUGAUAGGGAACAUAGAUAUGAGAGGAGCUGGUGGGACACAUCUCCCAUGCUGAGCAUGGACUAAUCCAAGUUUGAAGCACUUGAGAAAUCCCACUCAAGAAAGAAACUUAUCCAACACGAGACAGUGGAUAAAGUGUGCACUGACGCAAAACCCAGCUUCGUUGGAAGAUGAACCUGCAUGAUUUGUGACUUAUUGAAAUCAUACAGCCACAGUCGUACAACUACGAUGCCACUGAUGAUGUGAUCGUAUGUAAUAACUCACCUGAAGCAAUCCAUCACAGCAAACGAAACAUUAACAUCAGCAACGCUGAUGUUAUUCUUGAGUUCGGAGCUUGCAGACACUUGAACCACUAGACUAAACGCCAUGAGGUGUUCAUUCCGCAACAACAUCUUCGUGAUUCUGUUCAUCUUCUUCAGAAAGGUAAAAUGAACUGACAUAAAGUUUUUCUUCCCAAGUGACUCAUCCAACCUUCAUCAUUGCAUCGGUACGUAUUUCUGCUGAUCCGAUCCUGUUCUGGCGACCUCGGACUCGCAUUAUCUCAGCUGCAGAAUAAUUGCACGGAUGCACUGAGCAAGUAGCGCACAAGCUGACAGCAACAGCGCCCUGCGAACAGUCUCAUGCAUGCGUGAGUGAGUGCAUUGCCACUGAAACCAUGCAAGGCAUGUGAGCUAGUGGUGGAGCCAUCAUGUGGUGACACCAACAGCGGCCGCAUGGUGGAGCUAUCAUGUGGUGACACCUACAGCGGCGGCCAUUAAUGCCGGCCGUAAGCAGCGGAACGGCAGCCGUGACCUUUGGGAGGGGCAAGAGCGGCCGACCACGAGAGGCUUGGCUGCCGCCGUUGCUGGUGUUCCCCUCCUCCUAUCGUUGUCGCUGCUAUGUCAAGAUCAGGCGGCCAGGAAAUGGACCCAUGAGUGAUGCUUUCGGAGAAAAUUGAUUCAGAGACCAUCACCGUAGAUGAGAAAUGACAAUCAUAUAUGUUCAUCAUCAAACUAUACUUAUUGUGGCCAUCAGGCUUUCCCUAUAUAUAUAUAUAUAUGUGUGUGUAUAUAUGUAUAUAUGUAUAUGUAUAUAUAUAUAUAUGUAUUUAUAUAUGUAUAUAUCUAUAUAUCCUAUCUGUUUCUAUUAAUUCUAUCAGCUAUCAUCUACCAUGGUAGAUAUAGAAGCUGAUACUCACGUUGAGUUGCUAUAUGUCCUCAUGAUGACUGAGUCAAUUUUAAUAUACUUUUGUUAUGGAAACAUAUAAAAUGUAAUGGUUGAUUUGAAAUUAAGAUUUCAAGAUAUGAAUUGAUAAAGGAACACAAAUCAUUUAAUUGUUUGAGCCUCCACAACAAGAAUUUGUCAAAAGCAAAUCAAGUUAUUGAUCAGGAAACACAUCACAGCAAAUCUAUCAGCAUAUCUAGUAGAGUCAGUCAAAAACUGAAUCAGAUCAAAGUAAAUAUAGUCAUUGUAUAAGUCAGUCAAACAUUAAGAGCUUCAUGUAACAGUGAGAAGUUUCACUGCCAUGAUUUCCGCCAUGUGAUAUCCAUACACUGAACAAAAGGAGGAAUCAUGUUUGAAUGUGCUCCAAUAAUUUGAACUACAUAUUGAGCCAUAUCUUUAUGUGAGGGGUGGAUAUCUUCUAUGUCCAUGGUUUUAAAGGUGGGUUUGACUUUUUAUAUUUGUUGUGACACAUGGAAAAGAUGAUUCUAAAAGAUGAAAAAGACAUCCAUAGAGAAGAAAAUAUGAGACCAAGCAAAGACAGCCAUGCACAUAGCCUGCUUGCUCUGCAACUUUGCAUUCUAGAUGUUACUUAUGAAAAGAUGAAAAGACACUCCAAAGCUGCAUUGACUAUCACAUAUUGAAGUGAUACAUACGUUUUGUGUGUUACACACGUCUACAUUCGGCCAUCAGACCAUGUCAGAAAUGCCCUAGAAAGUCAAACAAUACCUUAUUUAGCCAGUGCCUAAGACAUGGGGCCACUGCCCCAAUUCACGAUCCCACCAUGGGUGAGGUGAAGAGAACAACCUCAUGUUUCAUGCAACUGAAGAGGGGAAGCUUUUCGUGAGGGUCCAAAAUGCUCUCUCUCUCUCUCUCUCUCUCUCUCUUUCGCUCUCUCUGAUAGGAAGUGUGUGUGGCUCUCCUUGCUUAGCCGGCACAAAUGGAAUUGCCAUGAUGAUACUAUUCUCGUUGUUGGAUAUGGACAACAACAUACGACCAUUCUGGGGUCGAUAUUGCUGCCCUCCCAAAGCUUCUUGGCGGACAGUGAGUGAUGGUGAAGGGAAAGGCCACUUCACACCCAUGAAAGCUCCAUAAAGCAUGACAUCGAACUACUACAAGUCCACGUCUCACACCACACAGGCUUUAGCAUUUUCUUUCCCACCCACAAAGUGAGUGAAUUCCAUCCAUUUGAAGAUGUUGUUGGAUGCAUACGCAUGUAAUGUCACAUACAAAUUACUUAUCAUUAUAUCAUGGUUAUGAUGUGUUGCGAAAUCGUUCUCAAAACUAAGGCUUUUAUUGAUCUAUUAAAGAUUUUGACCACCGAAAAUAUGAUUUUAGAUCGAAUUUUGUCUUCACUAUUUCAUAGUGGGCCGAUAUCGGGUGAGGCCUGAAUCCAUUGUUUUACAAGCCCAUGAAGUUCCUCACUGCUGAUACACAUAGGUCGAAUCCCUCUAUAUGGAGUAAGAAACUACAACCUGCUAACAAAGCUGGUUGUUUAAUUGAUUCUGCUUUCAUUCAUACAUGUUAUCAUAUCAAACUUUAGGUAACAUCAUCCCCAGCCAAAUAAUCUCUGCCUCAUGACUGUUUUCUUUCUCCUAAACCCUAAAUCAGAUUGCUGUUGCUUUGGGACUCUUUAGAAAAGUUUCUGUGGAUAUUAUGGCAUUUAAUUUACUUCUCAAACUAAUGUCUGAUAAGUGAGAGAAAUUAGUGCAAUAAAGAUUCUCAACACAAUAUUCAGUAGCUAAAUGUCGUGUAUGUCUUGGUGAUAGACUCUUCUCACUCAGCAUAAAUAAAAGGAAAAGGUAAUGACAGGGAGGAUGUGGAUCAAUUCAUUUGGUUCUUAUCCAUGUGUGUAAGUAUAAGAAACCUUCGAGGCAUAAUCAAGAAGGCUUCGGAUGUCCGAUCUAGUAUUGGCCAACAAUAAGAUGAGUUUUUGAUAUGAUUCUUUCGACACCUAAGUUAGUAUUUGAAACGAAACAGUAGGUAGUGAGGAUGACCAUAGAGAAUAUUCCAUGGAGUGAGAGAAUAUUUUCUGAGUAUUUGAGCCUAAUUGAUGAGAAGUAAAUAUUUUUCUAUGUAAAGAAAAAAGGGUUGAUUGUUAGUUAAAUGCAUAAGCCAAGGAGAUAGGAUGCAUUUGAGACCACAUUUGAAAUGUGUGUUUAAGGAAAAAUACAUAUUUUAAAUGUGAAUUAACGUUUGAUAUUUUUUAAAAUUAUAUUUGACCUGAAAUUUGAUUUGAAAAUGCGGGCUACCCUAUUAUAGCAUUAGUAUUUUAGUAUUUGUGUGAUGCUAAUAUAAUUUUUUAAAUUUAAAAAAUACCCUGUAAAUUUAUAUAAAAUUAUAAAAUUACUAAAAUAAUUUAGUGAGAAACUAAUAUAAUUCAUAUUUUCUAUAAGGUAAAUAUUUAUUUAUUUAUUUAUUUUAAAAGACUAUUUUAUAUUAUUAUAUUUUUAUUUAUUUUAUAUUUGGGCCAUACAAAAUUCUUAUUAAGAUUACAUACAUACAUACAUACAUACAUUCAUUUAUUUAUUUUUAUUUACUUAUUAAUUUAAAUAAAAAAUAUGUAUUCACUUUUGAAUAAAUAUAAACAAUAUUAGAAUGACAAAUUUAUCACAAAAUAUUUAUGAACUUUUGGAAUAUAAUUUACACCAAUACACAUUUAAAAUACAGAUUUCAUCUAUUCUUUAUCAAAAUACUCAAGAUAUUCUAUAUUUGUAGAUUCAUUCAGUCUUUUCUCUCAUCACAUAUUAAAAAUACAAAUGUGUAAUCAUCAAGGUUGGUGUACUUGUAGCUUCAAGAAGUACCAGUUUGGCAGGUAGAUCACCCUCCGCUUCCCUUAACUCAUUCAUGGUCAUAUGGAGACUUAUUCUAACAUCAUUGAAUAAGCUAUAGAUCUCAUGGAUUCAGACAUGCAGAACCUAAGAGGUUUCGCCUUCGGUAUUUAAGCAACUACUAUAAGUUAUGUUGGGGAUGAAGGAGGAAGGAAAUGAUAAAAACAGAAUACUACAAUUGUUUCAUGAACUACGAAUGUAGUAUUUAAAUAAGAGGUAAGACAGAACACUUAUAUUCCUAAGUGCAAAGUCUCUAUAUUGUUUCAUGAAUUAUGAUCCUAUUUAUAGGAUCUAAUGGUAACUACCUCACUUCACCCAUGUCAUCCAUAAUUGAAUUAGGUGUAUGAAUUAUCAUAUAACUUCUAGAUCAUGGGUCAUUACUUACAAUAUGCCUAUAACUACCUAGAACAUAUAAUUAUCUAGAUAACUAUUAUGAAUCAAUUCUCUAUUUACAGUCUCUUAGCAUGUCUAACUGUGAUUUUUGCCUCGUAGAUCACAGCAAGAGCAUGGCUCAACCCUAAUUUCUAUGAUGCAGUGUGCCCGAAAGCCCUGUCCACCAUUUCCACGAUUGCUUUAUGAACGUAAGAAGACAUACGUGAGUUUAGGAUGAUGUGUCGCAUUCUAUCUUCUGGUGUUUGCAAUUUUGCAUGUAGGGUUGCGAUGGAUGUAUUCGAUUGGAUGACACGUCUAUGUUCACGAGAGAGAAGACGGGAAAGGCCAACAAGAACUCUGUGAGGGGCUUCGACGUGAUCGACAGGAUCAAAGCUGCUGUUGAUUCUGCUUGCAACAGAAGCGCGGUGUCAUGCACCGAUGUUUUAGUUGUCGCGGCGAGGGAUUCGGUCGCAGCGGCGAGUCUUCCUUUUCAAUCCUUGGAGCCAUCUCUCUCUCUCUCUCUCUCUCUCUCUGUGAGAUGAAGCCCUCGUGUUGUUGAUGCAGUUGGGAGGGCCGUCAUAUCAGGUGCAAUUAGGAAGAAGGGAUUCGAGGACAGCAAGCAAGAUCGACGCCACCAGCAACAACCCGGCCUCGAAAUGGCUGCCCGCGAACGAACUGGUGGUCCUCUCAGGCGUCCACACGCUUGGCCCCGCCCGGUGCACCUCCUUCAGAAGCCGGCUCUAAAUGAGACGAGCGCCACCGACGGCGACCUCGCCAGCACGAUGAAAGCACGUUGUCCACCAUAAGGAGGCAACCACUCGCCGACGACCUUCGACAACGCGUACUUCCAGGGACUGGUGGGUAAGAAGGGGGACGGCAACGGCAGUGAUGGUCUGGUGAAGUACUACAGCAAGAACAAAACCUAAUUAUCAAGAUUUCCUCACAAAACUCUUUUCUUUUUUUACUAACAUUCUUUAUCCUUGAGAGACAAUUACUCUAGAAAUCUUAAAAUACUUUCAAUCUCAACACAUCAUCCAGAGCAGUCUAAACAUAUGCUUCGAUUACAUUGAUCUUCAAGCUUCAAUAAUUUUGGAUGAUUUGAAGAGAAGCGAACGCAACCACAUGAGAAGAAUCUCACAGGGACAAGAGAUAGGAGAUCAGCUUACAAGUUAUUGUCAUUGUCAAUGUCAAAGUACGGUGUUCGUCCAUUCUCUCUCACUCACCCACACAAUGGAAUCUUGGGUUAGGUUAACUUCGAAUUAUCAGAUUUAUGUUGCGUUCGAUCUAACUAUACCUUCUUCCACUUCUGCUAGUGAUGAUCAAAACAAUCAGGUUUCUCAUACUUUGAGACUUCUGUGUUAUUUUGGGUGUCGUAGAGCUUCUUCAGCAUAUUCUCUCGAGUGUGGCAUGGAGAAAAGACAACAGUCAAAGACAAGUGCUUCAAGCAAAUAUAUCACUCAAAACACUAGUCUUUGCAUGCAAACAUACAAAAAAAGAAGUAUAUAUCUAUAUUUGUGUAGAUGCACUUUCCUAUUAAUUCUGUGAACAAUCAGCAACUUAUUUGGAACAAAUAUUUGGUUCAACUACAAGCUGAUAUAAACAUAAAACAGGUGUGAUUUGACUUCCUUCAAUAAUACUCUUCGGUAAUGUCAAUAGGUUAACAUAAGAAUAGAAACAAGAUCAAAAUCAAUGAACCAAACUAACAAAAAAGAACAAAUGAACCAUUUAAUGAUUAUGACAUUGAAAGCAUCACUCGACCAAACUCAAUGAUAUGGCAUGAUCAUUGUCACAAACAUAAACUUAGGAAUUGUUUUGUAGUAUAGUAGUCCCUCAAAUACACUCUAAUGCACAUUGGCUGCAUAACCUCUGUAACUAAUACAAAUGGCUUGACCUCUUUGCAUUUGUGUUGAAAAAUAUAAAUUAAAUUGAAAAAAAAUGAAACUGUUCAAUCUUCAUUUCCUAGUUUUACAAUCUUUGAUUCAUGAUCAUCUGCUACUUCUCAAUCUUCUUAUUCUUUGUCAUUCUACCUAUCAUGUCUGCUGGUGUAACUUCUAUUAGCACCCUACAAUUUCCAGUACCAUGAUCUUAUGCUUCUCAUCAUCAUUCACUAGGUUAUGAAAGGAUUUGCGAUAAUGUCUAAGCCGAUAACUCGAUCUUUUCUUCUAAUGGCCUAAUGAACUGAUCUUUUUUUAUUUGCUAUUGAUCAGCUAUAAUCUUAAACAUGACAGAUCUAAUGACAUUUUGUUGUCCACUGCAUCCUCAAUCCAGGCAUCAUUGUAAUAUUGUUACAUGACAAGGAGCAUCUGUGAAUCCUUGUAUUUGACUCUGUUCUACAUUCACCGAGCGUUCAUUUCCUAUAUGGAAUCUAUAAGUCCCAAAUCAAAGAUUGCAAUGUAAAUGUUGGACUGUCAUUGCAUUCAAAUGUUCUAUUUUGUUUCCAUGCUGACCUGUUACUAGUAUUCCUGUAGAUCUUGUUCCAUUCAAAUGCUUUUGAUUUCAUGAGCAAGGUGUGCAUGUUACUAAUUAUCCUGUAGCUAAAACUGAUCCAAAGCAUAUUAUAGUUCAUCAAAUGCUUUUGAUUGCAUGAGCAAGGUGUGGAUGUGGCAGAUCUGCAUUAAGAUAGACACUUUUGUAGAGGAUGGGGAAGGAGAGAAAGCACACAUGCGUUGAAGGCCAUAAAGAGUCCUUCUUGCAAGAAGAGGAUUUUACUGCAUUCGGAGUAAGAAGGCCAUAAAGUAUGCUAUCGAAUGCUGUUCUUUGAGAACAUUAAUGGCUUUGCUAAGUGAUUUACCACUUACAUCCAAGUAAGGAUUUGUAAUACUUGAAUGGUACCUUAGAAGGUCACACAAGGGAAGUCUUCGACUAAGAAACAUAGUUGGAAAUCCUAAUACGAAGCAUCAACAACAAGCUGAUCUGCCUAGUCUAACACACAAGCUUCUCUCGAGACUUUUCUUCCCAUCAUCGAAUGCUGUUCAUGAACUCUUAGUAGCCUCAACUUACCAAACUUUCAGCAACUCAUGAAUGCCACUGCUUCUAGCAAGUACUGUGUACAACAGCAUUCAAUAUCUAGAUCUAAAAUGGUAGAUUUACUAGUACUAUGAUCACAUGUCUAAACUAGAUCUAUAUAGCUUAACACUAAUCGAAACAGCAUUUACGCCUUAAACAUCAGUAUUACAUGUCUUAAUUUUUUUCAUGUACAUGUAAAAUUACAACAACAAAUAUAAUAUGUCUAUGAAAGAAAGAUGGAAUGUGAGCACCAUCUUGAGUGAUACCACUUAUUCAAGCUCCACAGAAACAAGAAGAAGAAGAAGAGGAACCCUAGAAGAAGAGCUUAUGUGGAAACAGAUGAAAGGGGGGAACAAGUCCUUCCUCAUCUCAAACCAGAAGAGGGACACAAAGUGCAAGUAGAACACCACCCACCCAGAUUUCUGCUACCUGUCAUGCCUGGCCACCAUGGACGACAGUGGGGAGUACCUGGCCGGAACCGGCACCGGCCUCCGGAGAGCCACACCGGAGAACCGCAGCACGGUGGAGAUCAAGGAGAUGAGCUCCAUCGCCAUGUGGCUCACCUCAUGCAACCUGCAGAAGCUCUUCCUCAUGAUCACACCCAACACCACAUGGAUUGCCUCCUCCCAAAUGCCACCCAUCGCGCGGUAUUCCUCUCUCCACCUCGGUCUUCCUUUUUAGGAGUCCCGUGUUAUGUAUAACCCUGGAAGCGACUCCAAAAGGCUCACCGUUUGGGAAGAGCCUCUUCAACACAGCUUUCGCUAGAGGACCCAAAUGCCCAUGACGGUGAAGAAAGCCACGUCGCAGUGAAUCUAAAGAAGGCAGUGACGUUGGGAUCGCGGAGGGCGUUUCUGGAAUACAGAUGAGGAGGAGGAGGACACAGAUCGAAUGGGGCAGAUGGAUGGAUGGGACCCAGAUGAGGACAUGAUGUCUUCAUUCUUGCGUGCCGUGUGCACUUCCUCCUUGUGAGAGAGCUGAGAGUGGCAUUUUGGGAAGACCAGUCGGGGCUGCAAG
rnacentral:lncRNA from 1 species